rnacentral:lncRNA from 1 species
UCUAGAGUUUUAGUUCCAGAAAGCAACACAUUCACAGUUCCAUGUUAAACCAUGUUUUUGAUUAUUCAGGGCUACAACUGUUUUUCAGCCAUCUCGUCCAACAUUAACUCCUUUGAAUUGCAAUCUUAUCACAAUCUUCACUCUGAAUUGCGUUGUGAUUUGCAUUGUUCCUUUCUACCAAGAUGGCAAGAUGUAUUCCCCACACAGGCGAAAGAAACUAACUCAAGUUUAAGAUCACAUGUGUAUAGAAAAGGAUUUCACUAAGUGAAACGAAAAAUUCCAUGAGUAUCUACACAUAAGUGCAAUUUGAACCAGAGUGAGCUACCCAACCCACAAUAAGAUUUGCCAAACCAUGAUAUGCAAAUAACAGAAUUCACAAAGACUUCACAACAUUUGCUUACCGAAGCCUCUUCCAGAUUUAGAUCCACAAAUAUCACACUGCCAUGCAUCCUGGCAAAAAAAGUCAAACAAGAGCAAUACAUAUGUGAGACCACCAUGUCGGCACAUAACAUAAUCAGAAAUCAUUUCUAAGCAGAUGUACUGAAAGUAUGAGACACAUGGCAUGCAACUGGAUAAAAAAUUAUGGUGGGUAUAUGCUAGCAUAAUAGUCAAUUUUUGUGGUACAACAAUUCUAUUAUACUAGAAGCACUAAUCAAGAGCAUAU